rnacentral:tRNA from 4 species
GCCGUAGUUCAGUUGGUUAGAGCGUCAGAUUGUGGUUCUGAAUGUCGUGGGUUCGAGUCCCACCUG